AAGAUACUCGAACUUGAGUAUGUUCAUACGAAGACUAUCAAUUGCACGCAAAGUUGGAAGGUAUAGGGAAAAGAAAAGAGCAACAACUGUCCCAGCCUCCACAGACACCACUGUCUUUAUAAAGGAAAGUGCUGCCUCUGAGUUGCAGGCACUGGAUUCAUCUCGCUUGUCUGGUGUGGUAAUAUAUGAUAUGGCAAGGAUGAGGCGCCUUCUGGAAAUAACGCUUCCUGAACGUUGUAAGACACAUGCGGAU
rnacentral:lncRNA from 1 species